CCUACGGGAGGCAGCAGUGGGGAAUUUUGGACAAUGGGCGCCAGCCUGAUCCAGCAAUGCCGCGUGAGUGAAGAAGGCCUUCGGGUUGUAAAGCUCUUUUGUCAGGGAAGAAACGGCUGAGGUUAAUACCUUCGGCUAAUGACGGUACCUGAAGAAUAAGCACCGGCUAACUACGUGCCAGCAGCCGCGGUAAUACGUAGGGUGCAAGCGUUAAUCGGAAUUACUGGGCGUAAAGCGUGCGCAGGCGGUUUUGUAAGUCUGACGUGAAAUCCCCGGGCUCAACCUGGGAAUUGCGUUGGAGACUGCAAGGCUGGAGUCUGGCAGAGGGGGGUAGAAUUCCACGUGUAGCAGUGAAAUGCGUAGAGAUGUGGAGGAACACCGAUGGCGAAGGCAGCCCCCUGGGUCAAGACUGACGCUCAUGCACGAAAGCGUGGGGAGCAAACAGGAUUAGAUACCCUGGUAGUCCACGCCCUAAACGAUGUCUACUAGUUGUCGGGUCUUAAUUGACUUGGUAACGCAGCUAACGCGUGAAGUAGACCGCCUGGGGGAGGUACGGUCGCGAGAAGUUAAAACGUUAAAGUUAGUAAGUUAGUACGGCGUGAGACGUGACCGACGGACGACGACGAGGGAGGUUAGG
rnacentral:rRNA from 1 species